UACGAAGGGGGCUAGCGUUGCUCGGAAUCACUGGGCGUAAAGCGCACGUAGGCGGAUUGUUAAGUCAGGGGUGAAAUCCUGGAGCUCAACUCCAGAACUGCCUUUGAUACUGGCGAUCUCGAGUCCGGGAGAGGUGAGUGGAACUGCGAGUGUAGAGGUGAAAUUCGUAGAUAUUCGCAAGAACACCAGUGGCGAAGGCGGCUCACUGGCCCGGUACUGACGCUGAGGCGCGACAGCGUGGGGAGCAAACAGG
rnacentral:rRNA from 1 species